UUAGAUCCAUAGUUUUGGGAGUUCUGUGUGUGGUGGAUGACAAAAUUCUGGUGCAUUGCUUGAGAUUAGAUUUUUGAGCUAGAGUCUAUCGGAAACAACCUCUCUAUCCUUCCCAUAGAGGUAGGGGAAUGUUUGCCUACAUUCUACUCUCCUCGGACUCCACAAUGGGAUUACACAAGCUUUGUUGUUGUUGUUGUUGCUUGAGAUUGGAUGCAACACCCAUUCAAAUGUCAACACUUACAUAAAAUGUUAAUGCACAUAUUAGUUUAUGCAGAAAAUACACUAAACGUGAAAUGACACUGGUUAGAGAACCUUGUUAUCAAUGAAGAUGAUUGAAAUUUUGUAUUAAGGUUUAAUUUUACUAAUGACUUUUGCCCAUUGUCAGCUAUUAGAUCACAAGAAGUGACAUUCUUGAGUUCCACAAGAAAUGUAUAAAAACUGCAACGUUUAUCUUCGAAUUGUCCAGUAGUUGUCUUUUCUAUCAAGGCAAAAUUCACCAUUGUGUACUAAUCUCACUAAAGAGACUAAAUCAAAAGCAAUUGAAAUUUAACAAAGCAAUUGAAAAUUUUCAAAAUAACCUAGGAGACUAAAUCAUAAGAUAAUCAUACGCAAAAAUUCACCGAACUUUGUGAAAAGAAACUAAAUCAUAAAGAAAACUCACCUGAGAUGAUUCAAGAACUGCGUUCUUCUUCACUGAACUGAACGAGAAAACCUAGGUUCAGUUUUCCCCAAAACUGAAAAGACGCAAGUUGUGGCAAACGAAAAUAAAAAAUGGGUGAACUUCUACAAUUUUUUUGGCGUAAA
rnacentral:lncRNA from 1 species